rnacentral:rRNA from 1 species
AGAGUUUGAUCAUGGCUCAGAAUCAACGCUGGCGGCGUGCCUAACACAUGCAAGUCGAACGAGAAAGUGGAGCAAUCCAUGAGUAAAGUGGCGACCGGGUGAGUAACACGUGACUAACCUACCUUUUAGUGGGGGAUAACCUCGGGAAACCGAGGCUAAUACCGCAUAACAUCGCAAGAUCAAAGCAGCAAUGCGCUGGAAGAGGGGGUCGCGGCUGAUUAGCUAGUUGGCGGGGUAAUGGCCCACCAAGGCGAAGAUCGGUAUCCGGCCUGAGAGGGCGCACGGACACACUGGAACUGAAACACGGUCCAGA